rnacentral:lncRNA from 1 species
GUCUGAGGGAAGCACAAAACGGGUAGGAAGAUAACAGCAGCCACGUUGUCCUGGAAGUUGAUGUCACUUCCGAUAACUGUGUCAGUCACGUGACUUUUCAAGGCGGAACUUCCGCUACGCUGUGCCUCUUCGUUUCCGCACCCUUCCUCCUCUGGUCGGCCUCCCACUGACGUGUUUCUCCCAUGUCCGCGGUCGGCAGGUGGGCGACGAAGACGAGCUGCAACACGCCAGAGGGAGAAAGCGACUCUCCCGCUUAGCAAAAAACAAACUCUUUUUAUCUUGGACAUUUUCUUCAAGGCUGGACACAGGUGGACAGACUCGGUAUGAUCCAGGUUAAACAGUGUUGUGGCCAAUGUCUCGGCCUAGUACGAGUGUCACAUCAGCAUUAUCCUCCGCGGCUUCAUCUUUCUGUUUCACCCUCGCCCUCUGCUUCCUCAUGACGUUUUUCAGACAUCGACCCUGAAACAUCUAUACCAUCUUUUCCUUUGAACUGUGGUUCAGGCACCUGACGACACAACAAUCACGGCAAACAAGCAUGCCGCCAGAAGGGAAGUUGUGUUGAAGAAAGAAGACUCUGUUGCUCAUGGAAUACUCCUAACUAUCUAUGGGAGGGUAAGAUUGUCUUGAACCACGUGGGGAAGAAGAGGUGGAGAUGCUGUUUUCGCUCCUCUUUUAUGGAAAACGAGGAAAUAACCAGAAACAAGUACCUCCCAGU